rnacentral:rRNA from 1 species
UACGUAGGUGGCAAGCGUUAUCCGGAAUUAUUGGGCGUAAAGAGCGCGCAGGUGGUUGAUUAAGUCUGAUGUGAAAGCCCACGGCUUGACCGUGGAGGGUCAUUGGAAACUGGUCGACUUGAGUGCAGAAGAGGGAAGUGGAAUUCCAUGUGUAGCGGUGAAAUGCGUAGAGAUAUGGAGGAACACCAGUGGCGAAGGCGGCUUCCUGGUCUGUAACUGACACUGAGGCGCGAAAGCGUGGGGAGCAAACAGGAUUAGA